rnacentral:rRNA from 1 species
AGUGAACGCUGGCGGUAGGCCUAACACAUGCAAGUCGAACGGCAGCACCGUAAGAGCUUGCUCUUACGUGUUGCGAGUGGCGUACGGGUGAGGAAUACAUCGGAAUCUACUUUUUCGUGGGGGAUAACGUAGGGAAACUUACGCUCAUACCGCAUACUACCUACGGUUGAAAUCAUGGGAUCUUCGGACCUUGCGCGAUUGAAUGAGCCGAUGUCGGAUUAGCUAGUUGGCGGGGUAAAAGCCCACCAAGGCGACGAUCCGUAGCUGGUCUGAGAGGAUGAUCAGCCACACAAGAACUGAGAGACGGUGCAGAAUCGUAAGGGAGGCAGCAGUGGGGAAUAAUGGACAAGGGGAGCAAGCCUGAUCCAGACAGACCACGUGGGUGAAGAAAGCCUUCGGGUAGUAAAGCCCUUUUGUUGGGGAAGAAAAGCAGCAGGUUAAUACAACGCUGUUCUGACGGUACCCAAAGAAUAAGCACCGGCUAACUGCGU